rnacentral:rRNA from 1 species
UACGUAGGGUGCAAGCGUUGUCCGGAAUUAUUGGGCGUAAAGAGCUCGUAGGCGGUUUGUCGCGUCUGCUGUGAAAACUCAGGGCUUAACUCUGAGCUUGCAGUGGGUACGGGCAGACUAGAGUGCGGUAGGGAGACUGGAAUUCCUGGUGUAGCGGUGAAAUGCGCAGAUAUCAGGAGGGAACACCCGGUGGCGGAAGGCGGGUCUCUGG